rnacentral:lncRNA from 1 species
UGAGCCUUUGGCAACACUGCAUAAGAUCAGAAUUGCAUUUUGAAGCUGAAAACAAUGCCUAAUUGAUUGGGAUUUUCAAUAGGCGGAUGAAAUUUUGCUAAUGGAUGGGGAAAAAAAUGGUAUUUUUAGAAUCUUAAGAUACUUCCUACUCCAAAAUGACUAUUAACUUGAAUGCUUAUAGGAAUAAACCUAGUGUUAAAUCUUCUCUCUCUCAUUCAUUCUAUUUCCUUUUUUAGAAAAAAAUCUCUCCUGGCUUUCUCUUUGUUCAUCUCCUCAGGAGAAUUCUUAUCUUUCUUUUAUAGGCUUCUUUUUCACUCAUCUGUAAUCUAUCCUACACCUUGCUGCACAUUUACUUUCAUCCAUAGGAUCUCAAGAAAUAAAUCAUGCAUGAGAUCAUUCUAUGAUUUCAUUCUGUUUACAAGCUAACACCUGCGGUGCUUUUGUAUGCGUGAUAGGUUGGCUUUCCAUUCCCUGUUACUUUAGCAGAUUUACUUAUGUGGCUGUUUUGAAUAUUGGGGAAAUCUGAAUCUUUAAUCCUCAUCAUUCCAGCACUGUGCUUAUUUACAAGCUAAUACGUGAUAGGUUGACUUUCCAUUCCCUGUUACUUUAGCAGAUUUACUAACGUGACUGUUUUGAAUAUUGGGGAACUCUGAAUCUUUAAUCCUCAUCAUUCCAGCACUGUACUUUCUUUGUGACAUACUGACAUGUGACUGGAGACUCUUGCCUCUUCACUUGAACUAUGUACUUUCCACUUCUGCGGAUCCAGUGGUCAUUGAAUGGUAUCUGAUGUGUGACUGAGGAAUCUUUUUGACCGAAUAUUAGAUUCUUCUAGAGUGACAUGAACAAAUUCAAUGUUAAACAUAGUGUAGAAGUCCUAGGUCACUUUACAUAUUGCUCAUGCAUUAUCAGUUUCAGGGGCCUGGCUUUGCAGAAUGGAAACUGAACUGAACCCUAAUUCUUGGCCUUCUUUCUUUUUCUUUUUCAUUUUUC